ensembl:lncRNA
UUCAAAGUAAAAUUCUCGUCAAAUGUAUCUUAGUCACACUGUUUUCAAGUGAAGUAUGGCUGAUAAUUGUAUUAACUUGGUAUUUCCAUUUUCAUACGUUAUUUAGCUAGGUAAUUGGUGUCAACCAUUGUGAAUUCCAACAAACUCAUUUGCAGGUGGAUUGCUUGUGCAACGUAGACGUAAUACCUUUUUGCCGGACUUUUGUUGUUCCUUCUUUUUAAGGUAAGUCUAAACUAGUUUCUAUAGCUGUUCACGUUAAAGGGAUACCCCACUUCAAUGUGCUAGUGGCAAAGAAUUUUUGGACAAAUCAGCCACUUUGGGAGCAAUUUGUGCUUGAACCCUGAUGAUUACCACUUGCUGUUAUAUUUUAAACUAUUUCCCCCCCUUUUUUACAGGUAUAUAUUGAAGACCACUAUAGAUGUUCUGCCAUGUAAGCAUAGAUUCCCUUGCAAUUUAACAUUUAAAGCUCAGAUUUAAGGGGUAGUUGGGUGUAUGAGGAUGUAGUUUGCAAUCAUGGUGUGGCAGUGCAAGAUCUGUCAGUGGAUAGCCUCCACGAAAGGAGGUGUCUUGAAGCACUAUCGAUUUCAUCAUGGUUCAUUUACACAUGGCCAUUUUGUACUGUGUCCACACUCCAGUUGUCCAUGCUCUUUCAAAACACAGAGUGCCCUUAACACACAUUUAAGUAGAUACCAUAUACAUGAGGACAAUCAAGUGCCAGAAGUGCUUACUUUAAAUUGUAAAAGUUGUAGCACACAACAUUGUUCUGAGAAGGACUAUUUUCAACAUUUAGGUCAUCAUCUUAGAAGUCAUGAAACCAUAGAAUGUGUAUUUCAAGGGUGUAACUUUAAGACAAAUAGAUAUGGGACUUUUGUAACACACAGAAGCAGAAAACAUAAUCCUCACUCUUACAGAGAUUUCAAGACCGAUGUGUUAGUGAUGAAGGAGACUGAAUCACAUUCAUUUGAUACUAAGCUGCAGGACAGUGACACUGAGAACAGAUGUAUAGAUGGGGAUUACCAAAUGCAAGAUGAAUCACAGACAGUUGUGAACAAAAUAGCCUUGCUCCUGUUGAAGUUAGAGAGCAUAUACAAUGUGUCUUCCAGAUGCAUUGAUGACUUGGUUGAAGAACUCCGCUUUGUGUCUUGUUUGUCAUCCCAUUCCCAGUUGUUCAAAAACAUUGUUGAAUCAAGUUUAAGUAAGAAUAAUUGUGUCCUCAGUGAAGAGAAUGUCACUGAAUUUGUAAAUGAACUUUGUAAGUCCAACCCUAUUGUAAGAGCAUUAGAAGCAGGUGGUCCCCUUGGGUCUGCCUUCAAGAGAAAACAAUUUUUUAAGGACAAUUUUGAAGUUGUUGAACCAGUAGAAUUUGUUCUAGAUGCUGCUGAGAGUAGGCAAUAUCACUAUGUACCUAUUCUUGAGACAUUGCAGCAGGUGUUGAACAGCAAAAGUAUGAAAUUGGACAUGCUGAAACAUAAAGUUUCAAGUGACCCAUCCCAUAUUGAGUCUUUUGUAGAUGGCAGCUAUUUCAAGGAAAAUAGGUUCUUUGAUGGGGA